GACGAACGCUGGCGGCGUGCUUAACACAUGCAAGUCGAACGGAAAUGCCCUGCUCUUGCGGCGUGCUCGAGUGGCGAACGGGUGAGUAACACGCGAGUAUCCUGCCCUUGACUUUGGGAUAACUUCAGGAAACUGGGGCUAAUACCGGAUAUGAGGUCCCGCUGCAUGGUGGGGGUUGGAACGCUUCGGCGGAUGGGUAUGGACUCGCGGCAUAUCGGCUUGUUUGUGGGGUAGUGGCUUACCAAGGCUUUGACGGGUAGCCGGCCUGGGAGGGUGACCGGCCACAAUGCGUCUGAGAUAAAGCCAAGACUGAGAGGGGGAGCAGCAGUAGGAAGUGGUGUAGGAUAGGCGGCAGCCAGAUUCAGAAGAGCCGCGUGCUGGAUAACGGGCGUCCAGGUGUAAACCGCUUUACCCGGUGACGAAGCGUGACUGGCGGUAAUGGGGAAAGAAGCACCGGCUAACUACGUG
rnacentral:rRNA from 1 species